GGGUGGGGAUGGCCAGAGCCCGGACAGGCCUGAGGCAGGAAGGAGAGAAGCCAGAACAAAGCCAGCCAGCCCCAGGGAGGAGUUCAGACCACCCGGCACUCCUUUCUCAGGGCCAGAGGAGCUGGAGGCAGCAGGGACAGAGCCUGGAUUCAGGGAAGAAGCCCCCUUGGUCCAUGGAUCCGUGUGUCCCACCCCAGAACUCCCCAGGCCUGCUCACAAUAUCUUCUCCAGGUCUCAACUGCCCAGGCGCACAGGCAAUCCCGGGGCACACACGAUUUCACGGUCUGCUUUUUCACGUUACCCCAACAUUCUGCCAUGCGUCUGCCUCGUCAUAGCUACGAUCUCCUGGCACAAUCAUCGCAUAAUUCUCCAUGGAGAGGACAGACCCAGCUGGCUGACCCAAUGCCCAAAGGCCCGAUGUUUAAAUGGUUGCCAGUUUCUUCACUGGUGUAGGGGACCCAGCUGUCUAGGAUCUCGUGUGAGUUUUUCUCUGAAGCCUGAUGAGCUGACACUGUCAGAGCGGCCACUUCCCAGCCUCCCCUCCGGCCCUCUGGGGGCGCCGUACUCUGCCCAUGUCACCACCUCCCCCAGGAGACUUGGCCCAGGACAGAUGGGGGCCUCAUUCAUUCGCUCAUUCAUUCCACAACUCCUCCUGUGCCCAGACCCGAGCCACACACCGAAGGUGCGGUGCCCCCCCGGAGGGAGAAGGCAACAAGUCAAGGGGCAAUUCUAACCUAGGAUGAUACGUACCCUGAUGAGAAGACCGUGUGCAGGGAGCAAAGAGGGGCUCCGGAUCCUUCCAUGAGCUUCCCAGGGAACACACCAUCUAGGCUAAGAAAAGAGAAAUGAGUGGAAGGCGGCCAGGUAAGUACACAGAGAUGUCCAGGAAGAGAGAACUAGCACAGGCCAAGGCCCGGGGGUGAGUGUGCACCCCUCCAGGGGCACUAAGACUCGUGGUAUGGACAGAGUCCAGGGGGUGAGGUGAGAAAUGGCAGGACAGGAGACGAGGGAGUAGAAGGGAGCAGGUGCCAAGAGUCUGUAAGCAGUGAUAAAGGGUUGGCUAUUAUCCUGAGGGCACUAGGGAGCCAUUGAAGGUUUCUAAUAGAGGAGACACCUGAUCAAAUUUGAAUCUGAGUAAACUCAUUCCUCUCACAUUCUUUCCCUGGCAGCAUCUUGGGCACGAGGGCAGUUCGGAAGGCCUCCGGGAGCAUCCCGAGUCAGAGUUGCUGUGGAGGACACACAGGGAAAUCAUUGCGAGGUCUGAGAACAGAGCAGGGACCCGGGAGGAAGGACAGAUCACAGCCAGGCUCCUGGUGAGAGACCUGUGAAGGACGAGAGCCAGGCAGCCGGGGCACCCCGGCAGCAACGAGGACAGAGGUCCCGGGGCCUCGGGAAAGCUGGGUCGUCCCUGAGCACCCUGGCCCUUCGCCUCACCCCCCCACCCCACAGCUGGCUCAGGCACCGCAAACCAGACCGCAGCGCUGCCUUGGAAACUCAGGCCUCCCAGCUCCAAUUCAGGCCCGCCCUGCUCCUCCCUGGGCAGCGUUGCCAUGGUAACCAUUAGAGGUGGCGGAGAUUCUCGCUGAGGCUGC
ensembl:lncRNA